UAAGUGCCAGCUGCCAUCGGUCAAGGAUCUCUGGUAGGAGAUCCCUCUUUUGUGGAGUUUUCCCUGCAAGCCUAGAUCUUCAGGGAUGGGCAUCUUCUUGAAUCUUUCAUUUUCCUGAAUAAGUUUGCAGUGAUGGCAGAUUUCAUUGGACGCAGAGAAAAGAGGAGCAAGGUAGACAAUCUUUGUCUGUACCCAGUGUGCAGGUGCCCAGGCUGUCUUGUUCUGGAGAUGGAAGAUACAACUACACAUCCGAGGGAUUUCAGCUGAAGAGGAAGGUAGC